rnacentral:rRNA from 1 species
GAUGAACGCUGGCGGCGUGCCUAAUACAUGCAAGUCGAGCGAACAGACGAGGAGCUUGCUCCUCUGACGUUAGCGGCGGACGGGUGAGUAACACGUGGAUAACCUACCUAUAAGACUGGGAUAACUUCGGGAAACCGGAGCUAAUACCGGAUAAUAUAUUGAACCGCAUGGUUCAAUAGUGAAAGACGGUUUUGCUGUCACUUAUAGAUAGAUCCGCGCCGCAUUAGCUAGUUGGUAAGGUAACGGCUUACCAAGGCGACGAUGCGUAGCCGACCUGAGAGGGUGAUCGGCCACACUGGAACUGAGACACGGUCCAGACUCCUACGGGAGGCAGCAGUAGGGAAUCUUCCGCAAAGGGCGAAAGCCUGACGGAGCAACGCCGCGUGAGUGAUGAAGGUCUUCGGAUCGUAAAACUCUGUUAUUAGGGAAGAACAAAUGUGUAAGUAACUAUGCACGUCUUGACGGUACCUAAUCAGAAAGCCACGGCUAACUACGUG